GAUGAACGCUGGCGGCGUGCCUAAUACAUGCAAGUCGAGCGAACAGACGAGGAGCUUGCUCCUCUGACGUUAGCGGCGGACGGGUGAGUAACACGUGGAUAACCUACCUAUAAGACUGGGAUAACUUCGGGAAACCGGAGCUAAUACCGGAUAAUAUAUUGAACCGCAUGGUUCAAUAGUUCAAGACGGUUUUGCUGUUACUUAUAGAUGGAUCCGCGCCGCAUUAGCUAGUUGGUAAGGUAACGGCUUACCAAGGCGACGAUGCGUAGCCGACCUGAGAGGGUGAUCGGCCACACUGGAACUGAGACACGGUCCAGACUCCUACGGGAGGCAGCAGUAGGGAAUCUUCCGCAAUGGGCGAAAGCCUGACGGAGCAACGCCGCGUGAGUGAUGAAGGUCUUCGGAUCGUAAAACUCUGUUAUUAGGGAAGAACAAAUGUGUAAGUAACUAUGCACGUCUUGACGGUACCUAAUCAGAAAGCCACGGCUAACUACGUG
rnacentral:rRNA from 1 species